UUGGGGAUCUGGCUUUUGGAGGGGGAUAACCAUUGGAAACGAUGGCUAAUACCGCAUAGUAUCGAGAGAUGAAAGGGGUGGGAAACCACUUGCCAAGGGAUGAACCCAAGUGAGAUUAGGUAGUUGGUGGGGUAAGGGCCUACCAAGCCGACGAUCUCUAGCUGGUCUGAGAGGAUGGCCAGCCACACUGGGACUGAGACACGGCCCAGACUCCUACGGGAGGCAGCAGUGGGGAAUAUUGCGCAAUGGGGGGAAUCCUGACGCAGCCAUGCCGCGUGAAUGAAGAAGGCCUUCGGGUUGUAAAGUUCUUUCGGUGGUGAGGAAGGUUAGGAUGUUAAUAGCAUACUGAUUUGACGUUAGCCACAGAAGAAGCACCGGCUAACUCCGUGCCAGCAGCCGCGGUAAUACGGAGGGUGCGAGCGUUAAUCGGAAUAACUGGGCGUAAAGGGCACGCAGGCGGGACGUUAAGUGAGAUGUGAAAGCCCCGGGCUUAACCUGGGAACAGCAUUUCAUACUGGCGUACUAGAGUACUUUAGGGAGGGGUAGAAUUCCACGUGUAGCGGUGAAAUGCGUAGAGAUGUGGAGGAAUACCGAAGGCGAAGGCAGCCCCUUGGGAAGAUACUGACGCUCAUGUGCGAAAGCGUGGGGAGC
rnacentral:rRNA from 1 species